UACUAAAGUAUCAAAUAUUAAAAAUUUAUAGCAAAUUAUGUAAUUUCUUUUGUCUUGUAGCCUUCUUUACAAGGGGAUGGAUCUAUUGAUUCUACUUUUCAACCUCCAGUAGUUAAUGGUGGAGCUUGGGAAAAACCAAGAAAUGCAAAAGUUCACUGUAGUCAAAUUGGAAAAAAAAUUCAAUUAGUAAAGAGAGGUUCCAAACAAGACAAUGGAAUUGA